UUCCUAUGAUAUGCUCAUGUCAUGAAUAGAUCAUCAUUAGAGGUUAUGUUCUUGUCUUAUGUUUGCUUAACUUAGUUUAUAGUUUGCUGCUAAAUUUUGAUAUCAUUAUGCCAUGUUUGCGUAACAUGUAAUGUAACACUUGACUUGUUUUUCUAUGAGCUUGCAUGUUAGUAUUAACUAGUGCAAGAAGCAUCUUGAGUGAUCAUGACAUGAUUCACUUUGUUUUUCGUUUCACUGUUUCUUUUGGUCAUAUUUGAUAGGAACAGCCAGCAGUUGAGGUUACAAAUGAAGGCGUUGACGCUGCAGGGCAUUCAAUUGGUACAGUUUUGGAGGCUAUGUUCAAACUUAGGAAGGUUCUCAACCGCAAGAGUGUGUUCAAACCAACCUCACUGGCUAAAGCUUCUACCCAAGCAAGUUCAACUCAACUGAAGGCUAAGAGAUAAGUAGUCACACACUAGUUUUACUAGUUUAUCAGAUGAUAGGGAGGGAUAAUCCUCACAUUAUCUAAUUGUUGGAAACUGUCGUAUUAAUCAAUCAAUGAUGUGAAUCUAAAUUGUAAUGUAACAAUAUGAUAUAGUUCAAUUUCCUAAUCUCUGUUUAUGUCAAUAAUAAAAAGCAAUUAACUAUACUUGUUUCCGUUUUCCAUGAGUAACUACAAAUAGAAUAAGGCUCGCCACAUGUCAUCUACUUGUUUGCAUUUUCAUUGUAUGUGACCAUUGCUAGCAAUUUUGCAGGGAUAGGUUAUUUUCGAUUUACCCUUAGUUUUCUUCAUUGCAAUGAUUAAAUGUACUUUUUCUAUCUAUAGUUUCAAUAUAUCUUCCAUAUUAAAUUUGGCUGCCUUAUUUUUCUUGUUCAGUUCAUUGUUCUGACUUUAAGGUUAUCUGUGGUCGGCUCCGUGAUAUUUACAAAUUGAUGCAGGGACACUUUUGAGUUGGGUGGCUAGUCAUGCUCAACAAGCUGCUAAAGUGUUCAAGGACCCAAAAUUCCCCCGGUCUACCGUAUUAGAAGCACAAUCUGGUCUUCAACUCCAACUGUGAGUGGAUGAGUCUCAUUGACAUGGGGGCCUGCUGGAACAUUGGAAUUGGGCAGAGGGUGAAAAUUUUGGGUGAGAAUUGGUUCCCUGCCCCCGAGUCAAGCUGAGUUUGAAGUGGAGAAUCAUGCCUCAAAUUUAAUUUAUAGUUCCCCUAGUGAAUCCGCUAAUUGAUGUUGAAGUAGGCUGGUUUGACAAAUCUGACAACACUGUCGGUUCGUUAAUGUCACGCAUCAUCAGCGAUACUGCCAUGGUCAAGAUUAUAAUUGCUGACCACAUUACCGUGAUUGUGCAGUGUGUUUCCUCCAUAAUUAUAGCAACAGUUAUUAUCAUGUUUGUCAACUGGAAGAAUGGGUUUGGUGGCAUGGGCUGUGAUGCUCUGCCACUUCAUAUAAGGAUUUUCGGCAACCAACAUAAGGACUGUGGAGCAUCAUUUUAUCAUGAAGUUCAAGUACUGAAGAAAGCCAAAACAUAUCUCGACAUUCCAAACAAAAAGUAUGGGAUCAUCCAAGGCUUCUCCCUUUGCUUGUGGAACAUUGCACACGCCAUUGCUUGUGGUACACUAUAAUUCUGGUCGACAGACGGGAAGCCUCUUGUGAGGAUAAGUUGAGUCCUAUGUUGGUAGAGACAUGGUGCCUUUUGGUAGAUGGAAUCAGACUUCAAAAUUUGAUAAAGACCUAUAUAUGAGAUAACUAAUCAGCAACAAAAUUGGACACCGAAUUGAAUAAGCUACAAAACUUAAUACAUGUAUGUGGACAACUAUUUCUUUUCUGUGUUCAGUUUCCUUGCUGCAUUUGCAUAUGGAUAUCAAGUCUAGUAUGUUGUUCCUGCAAAAAGACAGUAUCAAAUGAUCCUUCUCUUGUGGGCACUUCCUCUACCUGCUUACCAAAUACCGGCCAACAUCGUUGAUUAUCUCAAAAUAAUGCUCCUGCUGUAGAUUUGGUUUUGCCAUGGUUUCUUGCAAAGUGGAGCUUCUGCGCAGAUACGAAAGAUCAAGACACCAAUAUAUUAGCAACUAAAAUUGAGAUUGUUGGUUGGAUUUAUUUGACAGUAAUGUAUAAAGUAGGAAACUAUUGCUCUUGUAAUUUAUACUUGUAUACUGUAAACUUACAAAAUUUGAUGAAAUACUAGAAAAAGUAAUUCACAAAAUGAGUGAAUUUUGGUUGAUCAA